GUGUUCCGUUCCGGUCGUGUUUUUUGGUGGAUCCACUGGCCCCGACAGGCCAAGUUUGGGUCAUCACCGUCAGCCAGCCGCUUUGUCUUGGGACAGUUCUUACGCUCAGCUUGAGACUUCUGAACUUUGGAGUGUUAGAGUGUUGGGUCCUUCGAACCGGAUCAUGACACCUUAGUCUGAGGCGUCGUUCCGUGCUGGCUCGUAAAUAGUUUAGGGACUUCGGUUCGUUUUUCCUCAUAUUUUAUUUUCCGAGAGCUGCUUCCUUUCGAUUUCCUUGGUGCGGCGAGUGUUCCAAAAUACAUUCGUGAACAAAGCGUGGAAAAAGUAAACGCACCGAAAGUAACUAGAAGAAACGGUUUUUUUUCUCUCUCCUUGGUUGGUCGUCGACGGUCUAACUUUGUGGCCGCUGAGUUGGCGCGAAGGGAAGUCGGACGCAAAGGAAGAAACCGAACCGCACAAGUCAGUCAGUGUUUUUGGAGCAUCCAGUGUGAGUGGGGGCGGGAAAUUGGAGAGUUCUCGCGUGGUUCUUCGAGUUUGCCGCAGCAGAAUGUGUGUUGGCGUACCAAACAACAACCAAACGACGAAGCUGGCCAAAACUUUACAAGACGGUCUCGCGCGAUCUGAAAACGGAUCCGGUGUGAGGCGGGGAUUUUUAUUUUCCUUUGUUUGGGAACCGAAAGCCAAACGCAAAAAAAAAAGAAAGACUCCUCCUGCCCGCUGCGGAAGAACGGCGGAACGUAGUCGAAGACGUAGAAGGCCCUCAGGUCAGAGGGAAGCGCAACAGUAGUGACACAGAAUUUCUGGACACGGACGAAAUCGAGUGUGACCUCGCAACUGUGUCCUGCCUCGAUCCGAAAGCGCGUUCGGUCGAAAAGCCUUUCUAACAAAGACUCCAACUGCGGAGAGUUUCGUGGAGAAAAAGAGAAGAACUUCGCAACAGCAAACAGAAAAAAAAAAAAAUCGAACCAAGUGAAAGUUUUUGUGCAUCUUUGCUUACACAACACCCCCUUCUCCAGAAAACGAAGGCGAAAACAACGACGUAGGUGUAGAGUAGAACUUCCACGUGUUGUUCCCCCAUCCAGAGAUUUCGUUUUGCGGUUUUUCGUCGUCGUCGUCAGGCGAGAGGCGCGUAAUCGCGUUUCCAUCCAGCCAGUACAACCCUCCAAACUACUGGGAAAUCGGCCAUGUGAAAGAAAAGACUAUUCCUGAACCGAAGGAAAAUCUUGCCACGGAAUCCAUCAAAAGGUGGCCAUCAGUCAGCAAAAGUUACCAGCUCCAGCAAUCAUAUUUAUCCCAGAUGUGUUCCUGGGGGAUGACUCCAUCGCAUCACCCCACGCGUGGCCACGUGUUAGGAAAACCCUCAGAGGGGGUGAUCCCUCCACAAAACGAAUCCAUAUGUUUGUGUACUCCCCGAAAAAGGCGACGCCAAGGCGCGUCGCUCCACGUCACUUUUGCGGAUGCUGCUGGCUGGCCGUCUUGUGUGUUCGCGCGCUGAACGCCCACGUCUCAAUUGGACGGGGCGAAGCAAGCACGUGUUGACAGAUGCUUGGUUGGUUAGAGAGCUAAAAUCCGGCAAAACUGCGGCAGCUGGCUUGGCCACCACCCUGAGGGAAUUCAAGAUCAGCCGGUCGGCUGCUGCCCCUUUUUUUAAUUUUACUGCCAAAUGGUCGGUCAUGGUCCGGCCGGUCCUCCAUGGAUGAAGGAACAGUAACGUUUUCAACAAAUUUUGCACGGACCAUCGAGCUGCCAAAUGGUCAAUGGUAGAGUCAUGGUGUGGGAUCCGGCGUUGGAGAACUUGAAUUCAUCGAUGGAAUCCUGACCAAGAAGGUUUAUUUGGACAUUUUGAAGCGGAAACUACCAGCGUCUGCACAUAAGAUAAAGUUGGGGCGCAGAUAUACGUUCCAACAAGACGGAGAUCCGAAACACACUGGUUCAAAGAAAAGCGAAUCAAGGUUAUGGAGUGGCCAGCACAGUCUCUCGACCUUAAUCCGAUCGAGCAUCUCUGAUCAAUUUUGAAAAUUAAGGUUCAGGAGCAAAAACCAACAAGCAUCCAGCAAUUGCGGCAGGUAAUCUCAACUGAAUGGGACAAAAUCACCCCGGAAAUAACUGCUAAGCUUGUUGAAUCGAUGCCACGACGAUGUCAAGCAGUUAUUGAACCAAAGGAGGUUACACGAAGUACUAAAGUUAUGUGAGCCAGAGGGGCGGAUAAACUUUUUUUGCGUUAUUUUUUUUAAUCUUUUUUUAGCUAUAUAUCUCAAAUGCAACAGAAUAUGUUUUUUAUUUGGAACUUGAAUGAAUUGACUUUUUUUUAACAUAAACAAUAAUAAACUGAACAACAAUUAACUGUGUUUUACUUUUCCGUCUGGUUUUUUUGGAAUAAAUUUAGUUUUUUGCUGGGGGUGGAUAAACUUUUUUUUUGCAUACUGUAAUUUCCUAUACAGUUUUCAAAACAGUGUCGAAAACUACAAAUUUGCCUGUGCUACAAACGAUCUUCAGAAGAAAAACUACAAACUUUGUCUGCAGGUAUCGUAACUUGAUUUUCACAAGGUUAUAAAAUAACAUUUUUAUAUGCAACUCGUCGUUAAAUUCGAUUUGUAUAGCACUCGACUUAAUUAUCCAACUCGGCUAGUCUCGAUUUAGAAAAAAAUUAAACUUUAUAGGUUGCUUUACCGUCGCUUUUCUGAAGUUAGUCAAUAUGAUGACAGGAAAUAAUGACAAGUCUACGAGUGAACAUCGAAUAAUAAGCUAAACCCAACGUAUGUUUC